AUUGAACGCUGGCGGCAUGCCUUACACAUGCAAGUCGAACGGCAGCACGGGAGCAAUCCUGGUGGCGAGUGGCGAACGGGUGAGUAAUGUAUCGGAACGUGCCCAGUCGUGGGGGAUAACGCAGCGAAAGCUGUGCUAAUACCGCAUACGAUCUAUGGAUGAAAGCGGGGGAUCGCAAGACCUCGCGCGAUUGGAGCGGCCGAUAUCAGAUUAGCUAGUUGGUGGGGUAAAGGCUCACCAAGGCGACGAUCUGUAGCUGGUCUGAGAGGACGACCAGCCACACUGGAACUGAGACACGGUCCAGACUCCUACGGGAGGCAGCAGUGGGGAAUUUUGGACAAUGGGCGCAAGCCUGAUCCAGCAAUGCCGCGUGCAGGAUGAAGGCCUUCGGG
rnacentral:rRNA from 1 species